rnacentral:lncRNA from 1 species
AAAUUUCGGGAAUUUUUCAUCUUGGUGGCCCCCAAACGCCUUUUCCCGAACAAAGAGGGAUUUGGGGCUUUUGGCUGGAAAAUUCCCGUUAGGAAAUUCCCUCCCNNNNNNNNNNNNNNNNNNNNCAGUUUUGAAUUUUUUAAAUUAUUUUUCUUUUUUUACACGCUCGCUCAGGAAUGCGCUUCCUCCUCCUCCUCCUCCUCCUCCUCCUCCUCUGGGAUCGUUGCUAAUUUGGGAUCUCUCGUGCUCCAACAAAUCAUUAUCAUCAAAUUUCAGAUUAAAAAAAAAAAAAAAAAACAAACAACCCAAAAAGCCCCAGAAGGAGAAGAACAAACCCAACUUUUCCUGCGGGAGACAAAAAGGGCCGGGGAGGGAGCGGAGCCGCCGCUUCCCUGCCCCCAGGAAGGUUUCCCUGGGAACAGUUUCCCCAAAAUUCGCCUCCUGAGCAGGAGCUCAGACCCCGCUCCAGCGCCUCAGGUUCGGAGGGACCCGCCACAGCGGAGCCCAGCGCCUAAAACUGGACUUUUUUAUUAUUUUUUCCCAUUUUCCCCCUUUUGCAGAGAGGAAUCUGCAGCCUGGGGUUGCUGUCGGGUUUUUUGUUUGGGUUUUUUUCUGUUCGGGAUUUUUUGUGGGGUUUUUUUGGGAAAACACCGCCGCAGAGUUGCUGAACAACCGAAGGAACUUUGGGAUUUAAAGUUGGAAAUAAAGUUUAGCAGCUCCAAGGUGUGCGAGAGAAUUCCCUUUUUUCCCCCCUCUAUUAUUUCCCCCCCUUUUUUUUAUUUUUAUUUUCUUUGCCCCUCCCUAGUUUUCUUUUUACUUUUCCCCCAUUUUUUGGGGGAAGGGGGUAUUUUCCCCAUUUUUAUUUUCCUUUUUUUUUUUUUUUUUUUUUUUUUUUUUUUUUUUUUUUUUUUUUUCAUUUUAACAAAGAAUCCGAACUGGGAAAAAAAAAAUAACAAAAGACAAGAAGUGAAUAAAGACGAUGUGCCAGUANNNNNNNNNNNNNNNNNNNNAAAAAAAAAAAAAAAAGGGAAAAAAGAAGAAUACAACUCUCUCCUAACUCUCUUUUCCUCCACCGCUGUUACUGUGGACGCCAGCUAA